UCUAGCUAUGUUAUAUAACUUUGUUAGUUUUACUAAUAUGUUUGAGGAGUCUUUGAAUUUUUCUUUGUAAACAACCCUAUCAAAAGCAACUUACUGCAUUUCUGUUCCAUCUUUUCUAUCCUUACAGGGUUUGUUUGUUUGUUUUCCUUUUCCUUGUUUUUUCCUGGCCAGGACAAUCAAUAUAAUGAAGAAUGGAAAUACUGCUAGUAGGCAUCCUUUUCUUGUUGACCUCAGUUUGGGAAAAUUUUCAGUGUUUUACUCUUAAGUAUGAUGUUUGAGGUCUCACUCUCUGGGAAAAGACAGAUUCCAUGAUGUGAGGAGGUAGAGGUUCCUGAACAAGCAGUGUCAUGGCACUGGUGGUUCUCUUGACCAGAGAACUCUUAUCAAGACUCAGAAAAGAGCUAGAAAAGUCAUUUGAGCAGAUGCUGGAGUCACUGGUCAUUUUCCAAGAGCAGCUGAAAAUGACCAAAUCCCAGGUAACAUUGUCAUUUAAGGAUGUGGUUGUGGACUUCACAUCAGAGGAGUGGCAGCUACUGGAUGCUGUUCAGAAGAACCUAUACUGGGAUGUAAUGUUGGAAAAUUAUAGCAACCUCGUGUCUGUGGUCCCUCUGUAGAGGAUUAUCUGCACAAGGAAGAGAGACAGAGAAUAUUCACACAACAGGACGGUCCUCUACAGGAAGGAGAAUGAGCCAAUCAUAACAACGUGCACAACUGUGGAUGAAUCUCACAGACAUAAUGUUGAGCAAAAGAAGCCAGGCACCAGAGGCACCUGGGUGGCUCAGUUGGUUGAACGUCCGACACUUGACUUCAGCUCAGGUGAUGGUCUCGGAGUUUCGGGGUCGUGGUAUUGAGUGCUGCAUCAGGCUCUGUGCAUGCAGCAGGGAGUCUGCUUGAGAUUCUCUCUCUCCCUCUGCUCCUCCUCCCACUCAUGUACUCUCUCUCUCUCUCUCGCCCUCUCUAAAGAAAUAAAAUCUUUAAAAAGAAGAAGAAGCCGCCACUAGGCAUACAAGAGGAGGCACUGUCUGAAAUUUUAAAACGGGUCGAUUAGACCGAGUCGAUUAGAAU